GGCAGCGGGGGCUUCGGCCUGCCGGCGAGUGGCGAACGGGAGUAAUGCAUCGGAACGUGCCCAGUCAUGGGGGAUAACUACGCGAAAGCGUAGCUAAUACCGCAUACGCCCUGAGGGGGAAAGCGGGGGAUCGCAAGACCUCGCGUGAUUGGAGCGGCCGAAGUCGCAUCAGCUAGUUGGUGGGGUAAAGGCCUACCAAGGCGACGAUCCGUAGCGGGUCUGAGAGGAUGAUCCGCCACACUGGGACUGAGACACGGCCCAGACUCCUACGGGCUGCAGUGGGGAAUUUUGGUCAAUCGGUGCAACCCUGAACCAGCCAUGCCGCGUGACUGAAGAAGGCCUUCGGGUUGUAAUGCUCUUUCAGACGGAAAGAAAACGCUUCGCCUUACGGGAGGUGGAUGACGGUACUGUCAGAGAAGCACCGGCUAACUACCUGCCAGCAGCCGCGGUAAUACGUAGGGUGCGAGCGUUAAUCGGAAUUACUGGGCGUAAAGCGUGCGCAGGCGGUUGUGUAAGACAGGUGUGAAAUCCCCGGGCUUAACCUGGGAAC
rnacentral:rRNA from 1 species